rnacentral:lncRNA from 1 species
CUCGGUUAAACAUCGCAGCAGGCAUUACAAUACCAGAGGUAACGAAUCAAUUAAAUCCAUUUUCCCCUCGGCGUCUCCAAAGCUGCGUGCCUAGUGUUGCUGUGUAGUUUAGAACCGGAGCAGUAGGACCCAGGGGCCUCCGCAGCCACCAAUAGAAGCGCACACUUGGACCUAUUUGUAUGCAAUGCCUUCUGCUCUGCGCAUUAAUAGUAAUACAGAUAACGGGUUUGAAAGAAUUCUCUACCGAAGAAGGAUUGAAUUUUUCCAGGGUGCUGAUACCGAGAAGAAACCCGACUUCACUCUCUCCCCAUUUUCCCACUCUUAGGUUGAAAAGUCUCAGACACCUUUCGCUUGGUUUAAACUCGGAAAGGUCUCAGUGCACAGCAAAGUUGGAGGGGCUGCGUCUGCACUACGGCGCCGCUAGAUCGCUGAAAACAGGCUUAUCCAAGGUGGAUAGCUGCCACGGAGUUGUAUUUUACUCAUGA